UACCAGCACCCCGAGUGGUCGGGACGUUUAUUGGGCCUAAAGCAUCCGUGGCCGGUUCUACAAGUCUUCCGUUAAAUCCACCUGCUUAACAGAUGGGCUGCGGAAGAUACUAUAGAGCUAGGAGGCGGGAGAGGCAAGCGGUACUCGAUGGGUAGGGGUAAAAUCCGUUGAUCCAUUGAAGACCACCAGUGGCGAAGGCGGCUUGCCAGAACGCGCUCGACGGUGAGGGAUGAAAGCUGGGGGAGCAAACCGG
rnacentral:rRNA from 1 species